rnacentral:rRNA from 1 species
AGCGAACGCUGGCGGCAGGCUUAACACAUGCAAGUCGAACGCCCCGCAAGGGGAGUGGCAGACGGGUGAGGAACACGUGGGAACGUACCCUUCGGUUCGGAAUAACUCAGGGAAACUUGUGCUAAUACCGGAUACGUCCGAAAGGAGAAAGAUUUAUCGCCGAAGGAUCGGCCCGCGUCUGAUUAGCUUGUUGGUGAGGUAACGGCUCACCAAGGCGACGAUCAGUAGCUGGUCUGAGAGGAUGAUCAGCCACACUGGGACUGAGACACGGCCCAGACUCCUACGGGAGGCAGCAGUGGGGAAUAUUGGACAAUGGGGGCAACCCUGAUCCAGCCAAGCCGCGUGAGUGAUGAAGGCCUUGGGGUUGUAAAGCUCUUUUGUCCAGGAAGAUAAUGACGGUACCGGAAGAAUAAGCCCCGGCUAACUUCGUGCCAGCCGCCGCAGUAA